CCCCCCCCUCUGAAAAGUUCCGUUCAAAUUUCAUCUUUUAAUAUUUGAAUUAAAAUAAAUGUCGCCUUCCAGAAUUAAAUGGGGCCCAGUGCGUACCGCCUCCCUUGUUGCUUGUUGUCCUAGUUGCCUUAAUAAUUAUGAGUUAUCAGAAAAGUGAAAAUAUUUUCUACAGAAGUUAUCUCUUUUAUCAGAGGGACAUUCCACCUUAAAAUUCCCUUUCCCCAGCACGAAAAUAUAAAUAUGAUUCUUUGUUUGACAAUGCAUUCACCAAUGAAUAUUGCUUAUAUCAUUAAAACAAUUUUUCUUUCAU
rnacentral:sRNA from 1 species